UGAUCUAGAGUAUUUAGAGUACCUAGAAAAUAAAUUUUAUUAUUUUUCGAUAUCAUUUGCCUAGUGAUCGAAUGGGCUCAAAAUCAACAAAUUUCAAUGGUCGUAGUGAGCCGUUUGCAAGUUUAACGGUGUAAAAAUAUCCAAAUUACGUAAAAUUUUGAUAGAAAAUUCUUUAUACUAUAUAAAACAAGAUCAAUAUCUUUGAUUUAAAAUUUUAAUGUCAUAUUAUUACAUUUUGUAAGAUUUUUAUUUUUAGCCGUUGAUUUUGAGCCCUUCGUUUACUAGGCAAAUGAUAUCGUAAAAUCAUAAAAUUUAUUUUCUAGAUAUUUCAAUCACUCUAGAUCAAGUUUAAUGGAGCCGAUUGACGAUUCAAAAGCCGCAACAUCGAAAACGAGCUGGAAGCACGGAAGGCUCCGUGCUUCCAAUAGCAUAGUAGCUUCACUCUAUAUAGAAUUAGGCUGGAAUACUAUUAAUAGUAAAACACUUUUUUUGCUAUCAAGUUUUUAACCCUUGGAUGAAAAAUUGUAAGGUCAGGAUGAUAUUAGUCGGUUAGAGUUGAGUGGUCCUCCUAGGGUUGAGUGGUCCUCACUAGGUUAUAGUAUUUAAUCCAAUGGUUAGAAAUAAUGAAAAGAGUUGAUCCAAAGGCUAAAAAACUGGUAGCAAUAAUAGGAUUUUGCUACUGAUAGUAGCCCAGCCCAACUAUAUAU
rnacentral:lncRNA from 1 species